UACGUAGGGUGCAAGCGUUAAUCGGAAUUACUGGGCGUAAAGCGUGCGCAGGCGGUUGGUUAAGUCUGAUGUGAAAGCCCCGGGCUCAACCUGGGAAUGGCAUUGGAAACUGGCUGGCUAGAGUGUGGCAGAGGGGGGUGGAAUUCCGCGUGUAGCAGUGAAAUGCGUAGAGAUGCGGAGGAACACCGAUGGCGAAGGCAGCCCCCUGGGCUAGCACUGACGCUCAGGCACGAAAGCGUGGGGAGCAAACAGG
rnacentral:rRNA from 1 species